AAUAUUGUGUCUGAGUAAAAGUAAUAAAUUGUAAAUUUAUUUAUGAAAAUAAUAUUUUCCAAUAUUA
rnacentral:tRNA from 1 species